rnacentral:rRNA from 1 species
UGAUGGGAGCUUGCUCCUGGAUUAGUGGCGAACGGGUGAGUAACACGUGAGUAACCUGCCCUUAACUCUGGGAUAAGCCUGGGAAACUGGGUCUAAUACCGGAUAUGACUCCUCAUCGCAUGGUGGGGGGUGGAAAGCUUUUUGUGGUUUUGGAUGGACUCGCGGCCUAUCAGCUUGUUGGUGAGGUAAUGGCUUACCAAGGCGACGACGGGUAGCCGGCCUGAGAGGGUGACCGGCCACACUGGGACUGAGACACGGCCCAGACUCCUACGGGAGGCAGCAGUGGGGAAUAUUGCACAAUGGGCGAAAGCCUGAUGCAGCGACGCCGCGUGAGGGAUGACGGCCUUCGGGUUGUAAACCUCUUUCAGUAGGGAAGAAGCGAAAGUGACGGUACCUGCAGAAGAAGCGCCGGCUAACUACGUGCCAGCAGCCGCGGUAAUACGUAGGGCGCAAGCGUUAUCCGGAAUUAUUGGGCGUAAAGAGCUCGUAGGCGGUUUGUCGCGUCUGCCGUGAAAGUCCGGGGCUCAACUCCGGAUCUGCGGUGGGUACGGGCAGACUAGAGUGAUGUAGGGGAGACUGGAAUUCCUGGUGUAGCGGUGAAAUGCGCAGAUAUCAGGAGGAACACCGAUGGCGAAGGCAGGUCUCUGGGCAUUAACUGACGCUGAGGAGCGAAAGCAUGGGGAGCGAACAGGAUUAGAUACCCUGGUAGUCCAUGCCGUAAACGUUGGGCACUAGGUGUGGGGGACAUUCCACGUUUUCCGCGCCGUAGCUAACGCAUUAAGUGCCCCGCCUGGGGAGUACGGCCGCAAGGCUAAAACUCAAA